AACGAACGCUGGCGGCAGGCUUAACACAUGCAAGUCGAACGCCCCGCAAGGGGAGUGGCAGACGGGUGAGUAACGCGUGGGAAUCUACCCAGAUCUUCGGAACAACCCAGGGAAACUUGGGCUAAUACCGGAUACGCCCUACAGGGGAAAGCUUUAUCGGUUCUGGAUGAGCCCGCGUUGGAUUAGCUAGUUGGUGGGGUAAUGGCCUACCAAGGCGACGAUCCAUAGCUGGUCUGAGAGGAUGAUCAGCCACACUGGGACUGGGACACGGCCCAGACUCCUACGGGAGGCAGCAGUGGGGAAUAUUGGACAAUGGGCGAAAGCCUGAUCCAGCCAUGCCGCGUGAGUGAUGAAGGCCUUAGGGUUGUAAAGCUCUUUCAGUAGGGAAGAUAAUGACGGUACCUACAGAAGAAGCCCCGGCUAACUUCGUGCCAGCCGCCGCCGUAAAAC
rnacentral:rRNA from 1 species